UAAGCAUAUCAAUAAGCGGAGGAAAAGAAACCAACAGGGAUUGCCCUAGUAACGGCGAGUGAAGCGGCAAAAGCUCAGAUUUGAAAUCUUUUUAUUUAAUAAAACGAAUUGUAAUCUGUAGAAGGCUGAAUGGCUGAAUAUUCUGAAUUAAAUUCCUUGGAACAGGAUAUCAUAGAGGGUGAGAAUCCCGUGAUUUUCAGAAAAUAAGUCAAUUAAUUCACCUUUCGACGAGUCGAGUUGUUUGGGAAUGCAGCUCUAAAUGGGUGGUAAAUUUCAUCUAAAGCUAAAUACCUGCCAGAGACCGAUAGCGAACAAGUAGAGUGAUCGAAAGAUGAAAAGCACUUUGAAAAGAGAGUUAAAAAGUACGUGAAAUUGUUGAAAGGGAAGCGCUUGCGAUUAGACUUGAUAAUUAAAUUCAAUUAACCUACGGGUUCAAUUUAUUUUUUAACUAUCAGGCCAGCAUCAAUUUAAUGAGGUUUAUAAAAUUAAAUGGAAUGUAGUAACUGCUUCGGUAGUUAUGUUAUAGCCAUUUAAAUAAUAAAUUUAUAUUAGAUUGAGGUCUGCUCUUCGGAAAGGAUGCUGGCAUAAUGAUCGUAAGCGACCCGUCUUGAA
rnacentral:rRNA from 1 species